UGGCGAACGGGUGAGUAACACGUGGGGCAACCUGCCCAAAAGAGGGGGAUAACACUUGGAAACAGGUGCUAAUACCGCAUAACCAUAGUUACCGCAUGGUAACUAUGUAAAAGGUGGCUAUGCUACCGCUUUUGGAUGGGCCCGCGGCGCAUUAGCUAGUUGGUGGGGUAAAGGCUUACCAAGGCAAUGAUGCGUAGCCGAACUGAGAGGUUGAUCGGCCACAUUGGGACUGAGACACGGCCCAAACUCCUACGGGAGGCAGCAG
rnacentral:rRNA from 1 species